UUAUGAGGUUAAGCGACUAAGCGUACACGGUGGAUGCCCUGGCAGUCAGAGGCGAUGA
rnacentral:rRNA from 1 species